rnacentral:misc_RNA from 1 species
UACAGAGGGUGCGAGCGUUAAUCGGAUUUACUGGGCGUAAAGCGUGCGUAGGCGGCUUUUUAAGUCGGAUGUGAAAACCCCGAGCUUAACUUGGGACUUGCAUUCGAUACUGGGAAGCUAGAGUGUGGGAGAGGAUGGUAGAAUUCCAGGUGUAGCGGUGAAAUGCGUAGAGAUCAGGAGGAAUACCGAUGGCGAAGGCAGUCAUCUGGCCUAAUACUGACACUGAGGUGCGAAAGCGUGGGGAGCAAACAGG